GUGCUUGCUUCAGCAACACCUAUACUAAAAUUGGAACUAUUCGGAGAAGAUUAGCAUGGCCCCUAUGUAAAGAUGACAUGCAAAUAUGUGAAGCAUUAAAUAUUUUA